GACGAACGCUGGCGGCGUGCCUAACACAUGCAAGUCGAACGGUUGAGAGGUGAGAGUUGGGAGGUUAGAAGUGAGAGCUUGAAGGUAUUGGCCAACAUGCCAAUACCAGCAAUGAAGUCUCACAUCCCGCUUCCCACAUCUCACUUCUCAAUAGUGGCGGACGGGUGAGUAACGCGUGGGCAACCUACCCAUCAGACUGGGAUAACACCGGGAAACUGGUGCUAAUACCGGAUACGCUUAUGGAGGGGCAUCCCUUUGUAAGGAAAGAAAAUCGCUGAUGGAUGGGCCCGCGUCUGAUUAGCUAGUUGGUGGGGUAGUGGCCUACCAAGGCGACGAUCAGUAGCCGGCCUGAGAGGGUGACCGGCCACACUGGGACUGAGACACGGCCCAGACUCCUACGGGAGGCAGCAGUGGGGAAUAUUGCGCAAUGGGGGAAACCCUGACGCAGCAACGCCGCGUGAGUGACGAAGGCCUUCGGGUCGUAAAGCUCUGUCGACAGGGACGAAUAGAUGACGGUACCUGAGGAGGAAGCCCCGGCUAACUACGUGCCAGCAGCCGCGGUAAUACGUA
rnacentral:rRNA from 1 species